UUAAAACAAAAAAAAUAAUAUUUUAAAAUAAUAUAUUCCAAAUUAUUUUUCUAUGAUUAAAUCAUUUUGUCGAUAGAGGGAUGAUGGAGUGAAAUGUCAAGAAGUAAUGAAAAUACCAGUCAAAAAUUAUAUUUAAUUUAGAUUUAUAAUAAUUAAAAACUGAAAAUAUGAGUUGGAACCCUCUUAGGAUUCUCAGUAGUAAACAUGGUUCAAGGUCUCCUUUUCCCUUAGUGGAUGAAGGUGACUUUGAUCGUCAAAUGAAAAAUUUUGAACAGUAAGUUUAAAA